rnacentral:rRNA from 1 species
CCUACGGGUUGCAGCAGUGGGGAAUCUUAGACAAUGGGGGCAACCCUGAUCUAGCCAUGCCGCGUGAGUGAUGAAGGCCUUAGGGUUGUAAAGCUCUUUCAGCUGGGAAGAUAAUGACGGUACCAGCAGAAGAAGCCCCGGCUAACUCCGUGCCAGCAGCCGCGGUAAUACGGAGGGGGCUAGCGUUGUUCGGAAUUACUGGGCGUAAAGCGCACGUAGGCGGACCAGAAAGUUGGAGGUGAAAUCCCAGGGCUCAACCUUGGAACUGCCUUCAAAACUAUUGGUCUGGAGUUCGAGAGAGGUGAGUGGAAUUCCGAGUGUAGAGGUGAAAUUCGUAGAUAUUCGGAGGAACACCAGUGGCGAAGGCGGCUUACUGGUCUGCAACUGACGCUGAGGCGCGAAAGCGUGGGGAGCAAACAGGAUUAGAUACCCCUGUAGUC